rnacentral:rRNA from 1 species
AUUGAACGCUGGCGGCAUGCCUUACACAUGCAAGUCGAACGGCAGCACGGGUGCUUGCACCUGGUGGCGAGUGGCGAACGGGUGAGUAAUACAUCGGAACGUACCUUAUCGUGGGGGAUAACGCAGCGAAAGCUGUGCUAAUACCGCAUACGCCCUGAGGGGGAAAGCGGGGGAUCGAAAGACCUCGCGCGAUUAGAGCGGCCGAUGCCUGAUUAGCUUGUUGGUGGGGUAAAGCCCACCAAGGCGACGAUCAGUAGCUGGUCUGAGAGGACGAUCAGCCACACUGGGACUGAGACACGGCCCAGACUCCUACGGGAGGCAGCAGUGGGGAAUUUUGGACAAUGGGGGAAACCCUGAUCCAGCAAUGCCGCGUGAGUGAAGAAGGCCUUCGGGUUGUAAACCGCUUUGUCAGGAGAAAUCCUUUGAGCUAAUACCUCGGGGGGAGUGGCGGUACCUGAAGAAUAAGCACCGGCUAACUACGUG